CCUACGGGAGGCAGCAGUGAGGAAUAUUGGUCAAUGGGCGGGAGCCUGAACCAGCCAAGUCGCGUGAGGGAAGACGGUCCUAUGGAUUGUAAACCUCUUUUGUCGGGGAGUAAUGCCGGGCACGCGUGCCCGGAUGUAGAGUACCUGCAGAUUAAGCAUCGGAUAACUCCGUGCCAGCAGCGGCGUUAAAACGGAGGAUGGGAGAGUUAUCCGGAUUUAUUGGGUUUAAAGGGUGCGUAGGCGGAUGUUUAAGUCAGAGGUAAAAAGUCCGGGUUCAACCCGAGCCUGCCAGUGAUACUGGGGAUCUGGAGUGGGCGUGAAGUAUGGGGAAUGUGGGGUGU
rnacentral:rRNA from 1 species